CAAGUCGAACGAGAAAGUUCCCCGCAAGGGGGACGAGUAAAGUGGCAGACGGGUGAGUAACACGUGAACAAUCUACCCUCGAGUGGGGAAUAACCCCGCGAAAGCGGGGCUAAUACCGCAUAACACUUCUGGGACGCAUGUCCUGGAGAUCAAGGGCUUCGGUCGCUUGAGGAGGAGUUCGCGCCUGAUUAGCUAGUUGGUGAGGUAACGGCCCACCAAGGCAACGAUCAGUAGCCGGCCUGAGAGGGCGUACGGCCACACUGGAACUGAGACACGGUCCAGACUCCUACGGGAGGCAGCAGUGGGGAAUUUUGCGCAAUGGGCGAAAGCCUGACGCAGCAACGCCGCGUGGAGGAUGAAGGCCUUCGGGUCGUAAACUCCUGUCAGGGGGGACGAAACGUCCCGCGCAAGCGGGAUUUGACUGUACCCCCGGAGGAAGCCACGGCUAACUCCGUGCCAGCAGCCGCGGUAAUACGGAGGUGGCUAGCGUUGUUCGGAAUUACUGGGCGUAAAGGGCGCGUAGGCGGCAUUGCAAGUCAGAUGUGAAAGCCCCGGGCUUAACUCGGGAACUGCAUCUGAAACUGCUUUGCUUGAGUCCUGGAGGGGGUAGUGGAAUUCCCAGUGUAGCGGUGAAAUGCGUAGAUAUUGGGAGGAACACCUGCGGCGAAGGCGGCUACCUGGACAGUGACUGACGCUGAGGCGCGAAAGCUAGGGGAGCGAACGGGAUUAGAUACCCCGGUAGUCCUAGCCGUAAACGAUGGGCACUUGGUGUUGGGGGUAUUGAGUCCCUCGGUGCCGGAGUUAACACGUUAAGUGCCCCGCCUGGGGAGUACGGUCGCAAGACUGAAACUCAAAGGAAUUGACGGGGGCCCGCACAAGCGGUGAACAUGUGGUUCAAUUC
rnacentral:rRNA from 1 species